rnacentral:tRNA from 1 species
CAGGGAGACAACAAAAUGUUUAAUAUUAUUAUUUUGUCACCUUAGGUCGAUCGGUAUCUCACAUUCUUGAUUUAUCAAGAAUUUCAUUUCCUAAGUUUUUCUAGGUCACACCCAUUUUUUUUCCUGGGCCAUUAGCUCAGGUGGUUAGAGCGCACCCCUGAUAAGGGUGAGGUCCCUGGUUCAAGUCCAGGAUGGCCCAUAUCUCUAUGUUGGGGGUAUAGCUCAGUUGGUAGAGCGCCUGCUUUGCAAGCAGGAUGUCAGCGGUUCGAGUCCGCUUACCUCCACUGAUUACCACCUCUUCCAUAUUUUUAGAAAGGAAAAUUUUGAGUUGUGAUCAAAUUCUGAACGAAUCUAGCUUCCUAAUGUAACCAUUAAGAUGCUGGACUCAUUGAAUUAAUUUCAUUGUUUUCAGAGAACCUUGACAACUGCAUAGAUUAUUUUUUUAAAGACAAUAAGCAUCUUUAAUGAUGCAGAUUUAUUAUUUUUGCUAAAGCAUUAAUAACAAUUCUAUUAAGCUGAUGCUUCAAUUUUGAAGUUAUU